AGCAGAAACAGUAGCAACAGCAGCAGCAGUAGCAGCAGCAGAAACAGUAGCAGUAGCAGUAGCAGUAGCGGCGGCUAGCGCCCGUCUAUACCCUCUCCCCGUGAGGAGGGGAGAAAUUAAAGACCAGCGUGUUGAUCAUACACAGCUGGGAGACCGCUGCUGCGAGGCGUGCCUCUCUCUCCCUCGCCCUCUCCCUCUCUCUGUCUCUCUACAUUCGUUCGGACUGUCUGUAUCACGGUGUGUGUGUGCUACGGAGGGAGAGAGAGCGCGUGAGAGCGCGCUCGGCGAGUGUUUUGUUCUUGGCAUUCAGGGGAAAGCGUUUGUGACUCCCCAGCGAUUCACGACGAAAAAGAUAAAAGAAAAGGAAAAAGAAGAAGAA